UCUUUAUUUUUUCCUAUAUAUAAACAUAAAUAGGUAAUGAGCACUUUCUACUUGAGCAAUAAAAAGACCCAAUGUAUUACUCCCUGUGUCCAGUGGAGUGGCAUAAAAAUCACAUGCACCUUCAGGCAUGAAGGAACACCUAUAUUUGGAGGCACGUCAGUUAAUUUGUUGCAUAUCAGAUUCAUCAUUGUGACUUCUUGCAGGCCAGAUCUGAGAAGUAACCAGGAACCUGAUCCUUAGUGGAGAAUGGAAGAGCCCUUCAAGUGAGAGCACAACUGGUCACUAAUGUAAUCUGCAUUGAGUCAUCUUUCUCAGAUCUGACAGCUACAAGCUGAGCCCUGGCAAAAGCCACAGCCUUAAAUUCCAUUCAGCGGGAAAGAAGGAUGAGAGAACUAAAUGUCUUGCCCCAUUGCAGAGACUGCUGUCUCCAAGCCUG
rnacentral:lncRNA from 1 species